UACGGAGGGUGCGAGCGUUGUCCGGAAUCAUUGGGCGUAAAGAGCUCGUAGGCGGUUUGUCACGUCUGCUGUGAAAACUGGAGGCUCAACCUCCAGCCUGCAGUGGGUACGGGCAGACUAGAGUGCGGUAGGGGAGAUUGGAAUUCCUGGUGUAGCGGUGGAAUGCGCAGAUAUCAGGAGGAACACCGAUGGCGAAGGCAGAUCUCUGGGCCGUAACUGACGCUGAGGAGCGAAAGCAUGGGGAGCGAACAGG
rnacentral:rRNA from 1 species